rnacentral:rRNA from 1 species
CCUACGGGAGGCAGCAGUGGGGAAUAUUGCACAAUGGGGGAAACCCUGAUGCAGCGACGCCGCGUGAGUGAAGAAGUAAUUCGUUAUGUAAAGCUCUAUCAGCAGGGAAGAAAAUGACGGUAACUGAGUAAGAAGCCCCGGCUAACUACGUGCCAGCAGCAGCGGUAAUACGUAGGGGGCAAGCGUUAUCCGGAUUUACUGGGUGUAAAGGGAGCGUAGACGGCAUUGCAAGUCUGGAGUGAAAGGCGGGGGCUCAACCCCCGGACUGCUCUGGAAACUGUACGGCUGGAGUGCAGGAGAGGUAAGUGGAAUUCCUAGUGUAGCGGUGAAAUGCGUAGAUAUUAGGAGGAACAACAGUGGCGAAGGCGGCUUACUAGACUGUAACUGACGUUGAGGCUCGAAAGCGUGGGGAGCAAACAGGAUUAGAUACCCCUGUAGUC